rnacentral:rRNA from 1 species
UCUAUAAGAGGUCCAGCCUGCCCAGUGACGAAGUUCAACGGCCGCGGUAUCCUAACCGUGCGAAGGUAGCGUAAUCACUUGUUCUUUAAAUGAGGACUAGUAUGAAUGGCACCACGAGGGUUAUACUGUCUCCUUUUUCUAAUCAAUGAAACUAAUCUCCCCGUGAAGAAGCGGGGAUAAACUUAUAAGACGAGAAGACCCUAUGGAGCUUUAAACAACAAUAGCACUAGCCUUCAUCUUUAUACUUGAGAGAUACAACUAUUAUAUUGGCUAACAUGACUAUUAGUUUUAGGUUGGGGUGACCGCGGAGCAAAAACUAACCUCCACAUUGAACGGAGCUUUCCUGAGCUAAAAGCUACAACUUUAAGCACCAAUAAAUUGACAUCAAUUGACCCAACACGUUGAGCAACGAAC